UAGCAUCAUCGUCAUCAUCCCUGAUGAUGUCACACAUGACGUCACUGAUGACAUUAUCAGUGACGUCGCAUAUGACAUCAUCAGGGAUGAUGACGAUGACGUCAU
rnacentral:pre_miRNA from 1 species